UACGUAGGGUGCAAGCGUUAAUCGGAAUUACUGGGCGUAAAGCGUGCGCAGGCGGUUAUGUAAGACAGUUGUGAAAUCCCCCGGGCUCAACCUGGGAACUGCAUCUGUGACUGCAUAGCUAGAGUACGGUAGAGGGGGAUGGAAUUCCGCGUGUAGCAGUGAAAUGCGUAGAUAUGCGGAGGAACACCGAUGGCGAAGGCAAUCCCCUGGACCUGUACUGACGCUCAUGCACGAAAGCGUGGGGAGCAAACAGGAU
rnacentral:rRNA from 1 species